rnacentral:rRNA from 1 species
UGGGGAAUUUUGGACAAUGGGGGCAACCCUGAUCCAGCCAUGCCACGUGAGUGAAGAAGGCCUUCGGGUUGUAAAGCUCUUUCGGCGGGGACGAAACGGUCCGUGACAACACCACGGACUAAUGACAGUACUCGCAGAAGAAGCACCGGCUAACUACGUGCCAGCAGCCGCGGUAAUACGUAGGGUGCAGGCGUUAAUCGGAAUUACUGGGCGUAAAGCGUGCGCAGGCGGCUCCUUAAGUCAGAUGUGAAAUCCCCGGGCUUAACCUGGGAACUGCGUUUGAAACUGAGGGGCUAGAGUGUGGAAGAGGGGGGUGGAAUUCCAGGUGUAGCAGUGAAAUGCGUAGAGAUCUGGAGGAACACCGAUGGCGAAGGCAGCCCCCUGGGCUAACACUGACGCUCAUGCACGAAAGCGUGGGGAGCAAACAGGAUUAGAUACCCACGUAGUCCCUGAGCGGGCUGGCAAGGCGCAU